AAUAAAAUUAAAAAAAAAAAAAGUCAGGUCUACGAAAGUGUUACCUUUUGCACCCUAUUAGAACCCCCUUCUUCUCCCUCUCUCUUCACUUUCUUCUUCCAUUCUCUCAAAAUUUCAAUUCUACUACUACUUUACCUCCUCUCACUAUUUCUGGGUUCUGUUUUGUUUUGCUUUACAGAGAUUUUAUGGUCAUUAGUAUCUGAACUUUUGGUAUUGUUUUUCAAUUUUCAUUGUUUACUCCAUGCCUUUUCUUUCCCACUUCACCAAUACAACUUUUGGGAUGAAAAGAAAAACUUUACUUUUUACCCUUCAUUAAGUCAUCAGAGAAAAGAAAGAAAGAAAACUUACAUGGUUUGUUAUUUGGUUGCAGCAUAUCACUCAAGAUCCUCCUCAGAGCGGGAGUGGACCUUGAUGUGA